ncrna:Equus caballus (horse) microRNA eca-mir-767 precursor
AUAGGUUUUUGCUCAUGCACCAUGGUUGUCUGAGCAUGCAGCAUGCUUGUCUGCUCAUACUCCAUGGUUCCUGAGCAGGAACCUUC